UUGCAUUGUGUAUAGGUUUGUUUCUCAACAUUUUCAGUAGCCCUCCAAUAGCUUUUGCCCUACCAGACUUGAGAGCUACUGCUGUUAAUUCCUUGGAUGUAUGAGCCA
rnacentral:snoRNA from 7 species